UUUUUUUUUUUUUUUGGAUGCACCUGGGGCACAUGCAAGAUCUAGAACCAGGGAUUGAAUUCAUGCCACAGCAGCAACCCAAGCCACUGCAGUGAACAACACUGGAUCCUUAACCUGCUGUGCCACAAGAAAACUCCUCCUUUCCCUUCUUUUUAACAUUAGGUAUUCCAUUUUGCCACUUGCUAUUUUUAAAGAGGUUUUAUUUGUCUUUCAAGGUGUAAAUAGAAUGACAAAUGAUAACAUGUCCUUAGGCAUGUUGAUAUUUUUACAGGACUCAACUUUGAACAGUACUUUUAUAUGCAUUAUUUUGUUUGAUCCUAGUAAUACCUCAAUAGGUGAGCCAGAAUUAAGAUUUCCCAAAAGGUUAACAGGGAUUAAGAUUGCCACUCUAAAAGUAAACUAGUUGCUCAAAGGUAAGAAAACGAAGAAAGAGAACAGAAGUUUGCCUAAGGUAAUGUACUUCUUAAGUGGCACAACCUAACUUCAAUCCAGGCUUCCUGACCCACAAUUUUGAGUUAUUUCUAUAAGAGAAGGAGGUUUUUCUCUCUCUUUAGUACAGUAAGGUGUAUCCUAUUCAGGUCCUCAUACUAAAUAUAUUCAAUAACUAGAAAUACAUACCAGCCAUUUCCACCCCCAACCCAGUGUUUGGUUUUCUACUCUACCUCAUCAAUUAAAUUAUUUUAUAAAAUAUGAGAAUAAAACAACCACAACCUAGCAAUUAUUAAAGAAAGGAAAACAAUUAUCUUUACCUGGUCAAUUGUAAUCACUUUCUUUCCCUCUUUGGAAGUAUGUGUGAGAUUUUCCUUUUUCUCUCUUUGACAUGUACAACUGAAGAAUGAUUUUUCUGUUAAACUUUAUAUUUAAUUUAUUUUUAUUUAUUUAUUUAUUUUUUGUCUUUUUGUCUUUUUUGUCUUUUGUUGUUGUUGUUGUUGCUAUUUCUUGGGCCGCUCCCGCGGCAUAUGGAGGUUCCCAGGUGUGGCCCUAGAAAAGACAAAAAAAAAAAAAAAAAGAAAAAGAAAGAAAUGAAUGUGGUUAUAGAACCUGAUAUUUGAAUAUCUUUAAGACAGAAAUGAAAGAUUAUCUUAAUACUUGAAACACACCAUUUUUUUAAACACACCAUUAUUUUGCACACAGGUUUAAAAUAAGCAGAGGGUCAGAAAAUGUCCUUAGAGAGCAUAUUUUAAAAAGGACUCUCUUUAGCAGAAUUAGUUGGCAUCCUAAUGACAAUCCUCACAUUCCUGCCUUGUAGUCAGUCUUACUAUCGGAAGUUCCAUGCAGGACUCUAUUUGGGGGGAGUUUUCUGUUUGUCUUCUCCGUGGGGGAGCAUUUCCUGGCAUUAGCUAUGGCUGUCUUCCCAUGACUUUGUCUCUUGGUUCAUGGAUUAAUUUUAUCACUCAUCUUACUGAUCCUGAAUAUUUUCUUUUUUCUCGUCCUGCAUUAUACUGACCCAAGUUUAAAAAACAAACAAACAAACAAACAAACAAACAAAAAAACAGGAAGGAAAAAAGACAGGUUUAAAACAAAAAAUAGGCAGGGGAAUAUUGAAAAAGAAGGGAAAAAAGUAAGAAGAGCAUGAAAAAGCUACUACAUAUCUUUGCUUGAAAAAUAGUCAUGUGCUAUGCCAAAAUUUAAAAAAGUACAUUGCAGGAGUUCCCAUCGUGGCUCAGUGGAAACAAAUCUGACCAGCAUACAUGAGGAUGCAGGUUCGCUCCCUGGUCUCACUCAGUGGGUUGGGAACACAGCAUUGCUGUGAGCUGUGGUAGGAGUUGCAGAAUCUGACGUUGCUGUGGCUGUGGCAUAGGCCAGCGGUUUAUAGCUCUGAUUUGAUCCCUAGCCUGGGAACUGCCAUGUGCUGUGGGUGUGACCCUAAAAAGACAAAAAAUAAAAUAAUAAUAAUAAUAAAGUGGAUUGCAAAACCAGAUAUUGCUACUUUAAACAGUAGAUAGAGGGCUGCAGUGGAAACACUGUGUGGAUGGUUAACAGGUCACUUUAACCAUCUAAUGCAAGUAGCUUUCAUAUCUCCUCAGGCUUAAAGGAGAUAUGAUUGUUGGGGUAGUGGGAGGCAGUGCCAUGGACCAGACUAGAGAGAAAACCUUACUCUCUGGAAAAGGAUAAGGAUGGGAUGACCACUAGAGCUGUGUGUACCCCAAAUAAAUUUAGUAACUUUCUCACUGUGUAACCCAAGUCAAUGGGGUCCCCUUUCAGAAGUCAACUUCUUCUUUCAGAAAAGACAAUAAUGGGAAAUGGUGAGUCGAGAUAAUGCUAAGGGCCACUUUGGAGGGUUAAGCAGACAAAUUAUUUCCUCAGUUGGUUCUCUUUAAUAUGGAGUAGGGAUUCCUAAAAAUGUCUACUGUCUGAAGCAGCCAAAGGCAGAGUUAGCCAGAGCUGAGUACAGGCCUCUGGAGACCACUGACUUAUUGUAGCAUACUAUCCUCAAACCUGGCUCUUUCUGGGGUUCUGGAGGUGCCUUAGUGCACUCAUAUACUUCAUCUCCUUACUCCCAAGGAAUACAGUCUGAUCAAUGCAAAAACGAAAACAAAAAACAAAAAACAAAACCAAUUCUGACGGGAAUUGUCCUGAAUUAGCACAGAAAAGACUUGCCUUUGAAGAAUAUCACUUUCUCCUGGGUGCUCCAACGCUGCUGGCCAUACACAUAAUGAAUGAUGAGGAGGACUAAGAUACCUGGAGUAUGAAAAGGCCAAUUGUUGAAUAAACAAUUUCCAAGCUACCAUCCCCACAGCAUUAAAAAAUAAUCACUUCCGGAUCAACUGGCCCAGGACAUUCUUUCAACUAUUUACCACUGAUUUAAAUGCAGUGAUUGUAAGACUAACAGGGGAGUGAGACUGAUUUUACAGAAUAGCUUAAAUCAUGUUAUGGAUGAAAGUCACAUUAAGUUCAGCUACCUGAUUUAUAAGAAUUAUGUUUCUGUUUAUAUAUGAAUUUGAUUUGUGGUUGUAUGAAAUUUAAGAAUAUGUAUUGCAUAUAGAAUGUCUCAAAACAUGAAAUUAAGCCUUAAAUAUUUUUGACAACUAGUUUUUUUUUAUCAAUAGUGGCAUUUCAUACUACUUGGCAAGCGCAUUAACUACUUCAGCGUUCAGUUGACUAGAGCUUACCAGGCAUGUUUUAGCAGACAUAUAUAGAAAUACUAGUAGUUCUCAAAUGUGGUCUGAAAACCUUUGUUGGGUCCUCUGAAUCCUUUCCAGGGUUUCAGCAAAGUCAACACUAUUUUCAUAAUAAGACUAAGACAGGAGUUCCUGUCAUGGCUCAGCAGAAACAAAAUCUGACUAGCAUCCACGAGGACACAGAUUCGAUCCCUGGCCUAGGUGGGUUAAGGAUCUGGCAUUGCCGUGGGCUGUGGUGUUGGUCACAGAUGUGGCUUGGAUCUCAUAUUGCUGUGGCUGUGGCUCAGGCCGGCAGAUACAGCUGUGAUUCCACUCCUAGCCUGGGAACCUCCAUAUGCCGUGGGUGUGGGCCUAAAAAGGCAGGAAAAAAACCCGUACUAAGACAUUGUCUUUUUCACUCUUAUUCUCUCAU
rnacentral:lncRNA from 1 species